CAGCACCUCAAGUGGUCAGGAUGAUUAUUGGGCCUAAAGCAUCCGUAGCCGGCGCUGUAAGUUUUCGGUUAAAUCUGUAUGCUCAACAUACAGGCUGCCGGGAAUACUGCAGAGCUAGGGAGUGGGAGAGGUAGACGGUACUCGGUAGGAAGGGGUAAAAUCCUUUGAUCUAUUGAUGACCACCUGUGGCGAAGGCGGUCUACCAGAACACGUCCGACGGUGAGGGAUGAAAGCUGGGGGAGCAAACCGGAUUAGAGACCCGAGUAGUCC
rnacentral:rRNA from 1 species